CUACGUGCCAGCAGCCGCGGUAAUACGUAGGUGGCAAGCGUUGUCCGGAAUUAUUGGGCGUAAAGGGCGCGCAGGCGGCUUCUUAAGUCUGUCUUAAAAGUGCGGGGCUUAACCCCGUGAUGGGAUGGAAACUGCCAAUCUAGAGUAUCGGAGAGGAAAGUGGAAUUCCUAGUGUAGCGGUGAAAUGCGUAGAUAUUAGGAAGAACACCAGUGGCGAAGGCGACUUUCUGGACGAAAACUGACGCUGAGGCGCGAAAGCCAGGGGAGCGAACGGGAUUAGAUACCCCGGUAGUCCUGGCCGUAAACGAUGGGUACUAGGUGUAGGAGGUAUCGACCCCUUCUGUGCCGGAGUUAACGCAAUAAGUACCCCGCCUGGGGAGUACGACCGCAAGGUUGAAACUCAAAGGAAUUGACGGGGGCCCGCACAAGCGGUGGAGUAUGUGGUUUAAUUCGACGCAACGCGAAGAACCUUACCAGGUCUUGACAUUGAUGGACAGAACUAGAGAUAG
rnacentral:rRNA from 1 species